rnacentral:piRNA from 1 species
UGCUGAGUUAAUCUCAUGAGUGCU